rnacentral:rRNA from 1 species
GAUGAACGCUGGCGGCGUGCCUAAUACAUGCAAGUCGAGCGAACAGACGAGAAGCUUGCUUCUCUGACGUUAGCGGCGGACGGGUGAGUAACACGUGGAUAACCUACCUAUAAGACUGGGAUAACUUCGGGAAACCGGAGCUAAUACCGGAUAAUAUUUUGAACCGCAUGGUUCAAUAGUGAAAGACGGUCUUGCUGUCACUUAUAGAUGGAUCCGCGCUGCAUUAGCUAGUUGGUAAGGUAACGGCUUACCAAGGCAACGAUGCAUAGCCGACCUGAGAGGGUGAUAGGCCACACUGGAACUGAGACACGGUCCAGACUCCUACGGGAGGCAGCAGUAGGGAAUCUUCCGCAAUGGGCGAAAGCCUGACGGAGCAACGCCGCGUGAGUGAUGAAGGUCUUCGGAUCGUAAAACUCUGUUAUUAGGGAAGAACAGAUGUGUAAGUAACUGUGCACAUCUUGACGGUACCUAAUCAGAAAGCCACGGCUAACUACGUG